GUCUUUUAGAAUUUUAUUUAAAGUCUAACCUGCCCAUUGAAUAAUUUAAAAGGCUGCGGUAUUUUGACCGUACAAAGGUAGCAUAGUCAUUAGUUUCUUAAUUGGGAACUUGUAUGAAUGGUUGAAUGAAAAAUUAACUUUUUUAUUUUAAGUGAAGAACUUUACUUUUUAAUCAAAAGGUUAAAAUUUAUUUAAAAGACGAGAAGACCCUAUAGAGUUUAAUAAUUUUUAUUUUAUUUUUAAUAAAGUUUAAUUAUAAUUUUAUUUUAAAAAUUAUUUUAUUGGGGUGAUAGUAUAAUUUAAUUAACUUAUAUUUAUUGUUUACAUUAAUAUAUGAUUCAUUGAUCCAUUAUUAAUGAUUAAAAGUUUAAAUUACCUUAGGGAUAACAGCGUAAUUUUUUUUUAAGUUCAUAUUAAUAAAAAAUUUUGCGACCUCGAUGUUGGAUUAAGAUUUAAUUUUAGGUGCAGCAGUUUAAAUUUUAAGUCUGUUCGACUUUUAAAUUCUU
rnacentral:rRNA from 1 species